UGAGUAACCUGCCCUUAACUCUGGGAUAAGCCUGGGAAACUGGGUCUAAUACCGGAUAUGACUCCUCAUCGCAUGGUGGGGGGUGGAAAGCUUUUUGUGGUUUUGGAUGGACUCGCGGCCUAUCAGCUUGUUGGUGAGGUAAUGGCUCACCAAGGCGACGACGGGUAGCCGGCCUGAGAGGGCGACCGGCCACACUGGGACUGAGAUACGGCCCAGACCUCCGUACGGGGAGGCAG
rnacentral:rRNA from 1 species